UACGGAGGGUGCAAGCGUUGCUCGGAAUUACUGGGCGUAAAGCGCGUGUAGGCGGUUUCGUGUGUCUGAUGUGAAAUCCCCGGGCUCAACCCGGGAAGUGCAUUGGAAACUGCGAGACUAGAGUCCCGGAGAGGAAGGUGGAAUUCCAGGUGUAGCGGUGAAAUGCGUAGAUAUCUGGAGGAACACCGGUGGCGAAGGCGGCGUUCUGGACUGCAACUGACACUGAGGAACGAAAGCCAGGGGAGCAAACGGG
rnacentral:rRNA from 1 species